CAUCCAUGGGUGAACUCUGAGGAAAGGAGAUAUAUAGAAGCCCACAGACAGUGAGACAUUGCUUUCUUGGAUCAACAUUGCUGUGCUGAUAUUUGUGCUUCAACACUUGACUUCGCAGAGAGAAAUGUUCCAGAAAAUUUCUUGGGACAAUCCAGCUGAGUCUUGUGGCUUUCACUGAUUUGUCCCAAUCUUCUGAAUCGUGCUGCUUUGUGUUGCUGUUUGGUGUUGGACUUUGGACUGGACUGCUGGUAUCUGGACAACGAAGAGUGGACUUAUCCCAAGGAACUACUUCUAAAAAGCUUGUCCUCUCCUCCACCCUAGUCAGCUUGCAGCUUGAAGACAACAUGAAAGGCAGUUGAUCAUUCACACUUCCUCCCACCUCCCCAUCUCUGUCUUCAGAAAGGCUCAAGUGAGGACUCACCUCUGUUACAAAGUGUUCCAUCCGAUGCAGUGAUGCAGUGACAGGAAGUCUCACAGAGACCCUGGGGAGCAGGCAGCAGCCUCUGGUUUAGUGCUGUGGUGUAUCUGUGUGCCAGUAUGUACACAUGAAUGCAAGUGCCGAUGGAGGCCAGAAGAGGUUAUCAGAUCCUCUGAAGCUGGAGUGAUAAGCGGUUGAAAGGCACCCAGUGCAGAUGCUUGGAAUUAACUCUCGGGUAAUCUUCAAGAGCAACAAAUAUUUUUAACCACUGAGCAAUAUCUCCGCCUCCUGUUUCUUGUUUUUCACAAUUAGGUCUCACUUUAUAGCCCACACUAUACUGAAACUCACUAUCCAGCCCAGACUAACUUUAAACUUUUUAUUCUCUUGUCUCAUCCUCCAAAAUACUGGGAUUAUAAGUGUGAGCCACAACACUCAUCAUAGCCAGCUGGCUUGACUUAUGCUGUAGAGAUAAAAAUCCUUCAGGACAAGUUGGUAUGAAGCAAACUUGCAGUUUAUUAUACAAAGGGAAGUAUACACUCAGAGAAAUAGACUUGAGUGCAGCUGCUAAGAGGGACACAGGCUGUUAGGAUUUGGAUGGUUUGUUGUAUGAACAAAGUUUAACAGAUUAUUUAUGAGUUUGGAAAGGGCAAAGUGUGAAACUCCAGACAUGGCUUGAGAUUUUCCCAGAACAGGGUUUAUUCCCCUUUCUGUCUUUACAUAGUGUUUUCUGGACAUGCCAUAGUGUCAGAUACAUGAUGAUAGUGGGUAAUGAUAUGGAGAUACCAUCAUAAUUAACCAGGAGCUAACUAAUAAUCCUCUUGGUUAGACAUAUUGGUCCAGGAUAAGUUUACUGUUGUAGUGGUUACAUUGGGGCCUUUUGAAACAUAGCUCGGCCCUUACACCAGACUCAAGUCAACAUGCAGUUUGCCUCUUGUUUUUCUCAUGCUUAUUCAACCACCUUAUUUACUUAGGGCAUGCAGUUAAUAGACAUAGGUGCAUGAGUGCACACAUGUGCACACACACACACACACACACACAAUGCAUGCUUAUGUCCAUCUUCUUAAAUUAAAUAACUUAAAUUUAAAAUCUCAAAUUGAAAUGAAAUAAUCCUCUAAGUAGCCACCAAAAGGGAAAGAAGAGAACAGUUUCUGAGGCACGAAUAGAUGGAACAGGUGCAAACCAGUCCCGCCCUAGGCCUUCACCCCAAUCACCUGCCCCUAGUGACCUUCCCUUCUUCUUCCUGUGGUUACAUUUCAGGGUCUUGCAUCAUUUCCUUGGCUUCCUCUACACACUGCUCACUUAGCAACAGCUGUUUUAUAUGAUGCAGUUGUACUUUCAAAUACUUCUAGGGCUUGACAGGGGCAAGAAGGUGAAAGAAAGAAAAUCACAGGGACAUAGGCUUAAUCCUUUCUUGAGUUUUGCCAUAAAAAUCAACCCAGAGAUGUUGGAGUCAGGUUUGAAUCAAGUAACAUACGCAGACUAAUUUCUGUGUGCUAGGACUGCAUUGAAGAUUCACGAUUUAAUGAUGUCUAAUUUUCAACAUGAAAAAGGGGGAGAAAAAAGAUAGUUAUCAAUCAGUGCCAUUUCUUGCAUUCAAGACAGGGUAGUAUAAAGAGAGAUCUACUUGAUUUGGGUCCUGGUAGCUUCUAACUGGAUGUCUAUAGAGGAGAUUUCAGCACAGCAAGGAAGCC